UCCUACGGGGGGCAGCAGGCGCGAAACCUCCGCAAUGCGAGCAAUCGCGACGGGGGGACCCCAAGUGCCACUCUUAACGGGGUUGCUUUUCUUAAGUGUAAAAAGCUUUUGGAAUAAGGGCUGGGCAAGACCGGUGCCAGCCGCCGCGGUAACACCGGCAGCUCUAGUGGUAGCCAUUUUUAUUGGGCCUAAAGCGUUCGUAGCCGGUUUGAUAAGUCUCUGGUGAAAUCCUAUAGCUUAACUGUGGGACUUGCUGGAGAUACUAUUAGACUUGAGGUCGGGAGAGGUUAGCGGUACUCCCAGGGUAGGGGUGAAAUCCUGUAAUCCUGGGAGGACCACCUGUGGCGAAGGCGGCUAACUGGAACGAACCUGACGGUGAGGGACGAAAGCCAGGGGCGCGAACCGGAUUAGAUACCCUAGUAGUCC
rnacentral:rRNA from 1 species